CACGUAGGGUGCGAGCGUUGUCCGGAAUUAUUGGGCGUAAAGAGCUCGUAGGCGGUGUGUCGCGUCGGCCGUGAAAACUUGGGGCUUAACUCUGAGCGUGCGGUCGAUACGGGCAUCACUUGAGUUCGGCAGGGGAGACUGGAAUUCCUGGUGUAGCGGUGAAAUGCGCAGAUAUCAGGAGGAACACCGGUGGCGAAGGCGGGUCUCUGGGCUGAUACUGACGCUGAGGAGCGAAAGCAUGGGGAGCGAACAGG
rnacentral:rRNA from 1 species